AUUGAACGCUGGCGGCAGGCCUAACACAUGCAAGUCGAGCGGUAGCACAGAGAGCUUGCUCUCGGGUGACGAGCGGCGGACGGGUGAGUAAUGUCUGGGAAACUACCUGAUGGAGGGGGAUAACUACUGGAAACGGCAGCUAAUACCGCAUAACGUCGCAAGACCAAAGUGGGGGACCUUCGGGCCUCAUGCCAUCAGAGGUGCCCAGAUGGGAUUAGCUGGUAGGUGGGGUAACGGCUCACAUAGGCGACGAGCCCGAGCUGGUCUGAGAGGAUGACCGGCCACACUGGAACUGGGACACGGUCCAGACUCCUACGGGAGGCAGCAGUGGGGAAUAUUGCACAAUGGGCGCAAGCCUGAUGCAGCCAUGCCGCGUGUGUGAAGAAGGCCUUCGGGUUGUAAAGCACUUUCAGCGGGGAGGAAGGCGGUGAGGUUAAUAACCUCAUCGAUUGACGUUACCCGCAGAAGAAGCACCGGCUAACUCCGUGCCAGCCGCCGCAGUAA
rnacentral:rRNA from 1 species